CCUACGGGUGGCUGCAGUGAGGAAUAUUGGUCAAUGGUCGGGAGACUGAACCAGCCAAGCCGCGGGAGGGAUGAAGGUACAGAGUAUCGUACACCUCUUUUGUCAGGGAACAAAGGCGGGGACGUGUCCCCGGCUGAGUGUACCUGAAGAAAAAGCAUCGGCUAACUCCGUGCCAGCAGCCGCGGUAAUACGGAGGAGGCGAGCGUUAUCCGGAUUUAUUGGGUUUAAAGGGUGCGCAGGCGGGCUGUUAAGUCAGCGGUCAAAGCCCGGGGCUCAACCCCGGCCCGCCGUUGAAACUGGCAGUCGCGAGUUGGAGAGAAGUAGGUGGAAUGCGCGGUGUAGCGGUGAAAUGCAUAGAUAUCGCGCAGAACUCCGAUUGCGAAGGCAGCAUGCCGGCUCCACACUGACGCUGAGGCACGAAAGCGUGGGUAUCGAACAGGAUUAGAUACCCCUGUAGUC
rnacentral:rRNA from 1 species